GUCUGGAGCUCCUGACCUCAGGUGAUUCGUCCACCCCAGCCUCCCAGACGGCUGGGAUUAUAGGUGUGAGCCACCAUGCCCCGCCCAAAGGGAGAAUGUUCUAAUGCAGCCCUGUGGGAUGACUUGGCUGCAGGAAGUUACAUAAAGGUGACUUAGGUGUUACAGUGACAUGAGAGACCUAAAGGCUGUCAAAGACUGUGACCUCUACCCCAUGGAGGAUGCCCAUCGCCUGAGGAUGAACCCCCACUCCAGAUCAAAAUAUAAAGGAGCAGGGUUGCAGCUCACCUGGGCUGGGGAUUACCCGGACUCUUCAGAAAACAAAACUUACACUUUGUCAUGGAGCAGCUAGAAAUUCACCUCAACAUACUCAAUAAUUCAGCAUGUUUGAGCACAUAUUCCAUGCCAGGCACAGUGCUGGAACAGGGACAGCUGGAACAAAGUGGGAGACCCUCUAGCCACCAGGAUCCCAGAGAAGAAGCGAAGUGACUUGCCUAGAACACCAACCAAAAAUGACGGAGCCAAAAGGGCCAGAGCUGGGUCAAGGAGGAAGGAGGAGAAGGAAGAGCAUCCUUUAGCCGCCCUCUGACUCUGCCUUUUCGGGUCUCGCUCCUGGCCUCACUGUAGACAUCAUCCCCAGGCACACCUCCUCCGCACCUCCUUCCUGCUAUAGAGUACAGUCCCACAGGCGAGCCAACCCGGUCACAAAUGCCCUGAGACUUGCACCUUUCUCCUGAAACGGAGUGCUCUGGCCGGCUUUCGUAUCCCCCUUAGCCCUGCUCCUCAUCUCUGGGGCUGCUUUACCUGCAAAGUCUAAUCAAGAAAGGGAUGGGGACGCUGAGAAGGAGGAGUCUUUACCCGAAUCCUGUUCCCAUUUCUACCACCAGCAGCACCCCUUAGGCGAGUUAAGCUUUGGGACCAAAGGGGUCCACUCGGUUUCUCUGAGAAACUGGCAGAUCCUAUUUUUCAGAGUCAUCUGCAACAAUGUCUCCUUGCAAGGUGGCUUUGACUCCCCCACGGGGAGGUGGGGCCUAGGUUCCCUCCCUCUGAACCUGGCAGUCACAGAAAGAACACUCUCGUGACCGCCAAGGCCAGGUCAUAAAAGGUGCUACCACUUCUGCCUGGAUGCCUUCUAUAAUUGUCAUCCUCACUGACCUGACACAGAGAAGUUCAACGUCCAAAGGUCCAAGAAAGGUGGAGGCGAGACAGGGACUAGGACUUGGCCGCACUGUGCCCUGAGUCGGGAUGCAGGGCUGGUUGUGGCUGAUUCCCAUGCCCCACAGCUGAGCCCUUUUCCCCACUGGCACUUUGAUCCACCUCCAGGCACGUGACCUAAGUCCCUAUGGGGCACAAUGCUAAACAGGUGACAUGCACCCAGAGGCAAAAGGGGAAAUGGACCAUCUCCCUGGGACAAGGCAGCUGGUAUAGCUACUGUUGGGUGACAGUCGCCCUGCAGGAAGGAGGGCUUGGUCCUGGGGCUAGGUCCUCCCACCUCCACUUUCACUUCCAUGACUCCUACUGGCUUCAGAGCAUGAAGGAUCCUCUGACCCUGGAAUCUUACCUCGAGCACCUCUGCCAAGGAAAGGGGAGAGAAGUUGCCUUUCCACUGUAGGCCACCUUUUAUGUCUUAGUAGAGUGCUGGGGCAUUUUGAUCCAGGGAGGCAGAAGGAGGCACAAGAGGAGACAGACACAGACAAAGGGAGGCAGAGACUGCUGAGAGCUCAGGAGAUGAGUCUGGCUCAGCAGGGCCUGUGGUUUGCCCACUCUGUGCUCUGCACCAAGGGUUAAAAGGUGCCCUGUCCUCAGGAUACUUGAAAUCUAGUGGGGAUUUGGACACCGACAUAAACAAAGUCAUGUACUAAGGAAGCUGAGCUUGGUAAAGAAAGCAGAAGUAAAGAGCUGGGCCCCACAAACUCUGAGCUCCAGAGAAGGCUGCAAAGAGAAGGCUGAGUUCUGAAGGCUCUGUCCAGUGCCUUUCACCCCAAGGCCUUCGUAGUGUUAACACAGCAUUUACGUGUUUAAGUCCUCCCUACGUGUCAGGCAUGAUUUUACGCCCUUGACUUGUUUGACUUCAUUUAAUCAUCGACAAGUCUAGGUGGCUGAUACUCUUACCUGUUUGUUUGUUUAUUUAUUUAUUUUUGAGACAGUGUCGCUUGCCCCAGGCUAGAGUGCAGCAGUGUGAUCAUAGCUCACUGCCAUCUUGAAUUCCUCUGCUCAAGUCAUCCUCCCACAUCAGCCUCCCAAGCAGCUGGGACUACAGGUGUGCACCAUCAUGGCCAGCUAACUUUGUACUGUCUGUAGAGACGGAAUUUUGCUAUGUUACCCAGGCUGGUCUCAAACCCGAGGGCUCAAGCAAUCCUCCUGCCUCAGCCUCCCAAAGUCCUGGGAUUAAAGGCAUGAGUCACCAUGCCCAGCCAGUGGUUGAAACUCUUAUUAUGGCCAUUCUGCGGAUGAGAAGACUGAGUCAUCAGGAGGCAGGGCUUGCCAAGGUCACUGUGUUGGGGAAACACAGUCAGGAUAUGAACUCAGGCUCUUGGGGUCCCUGCUGGUCACUGUCACCCCGUGGCCCUUCUGAAGAAUGUCACAGGAAAGCAAAGCUGAGAGGGCCUCGUGAACUCAUCCAUGCCUGUCUCCCACACUGACCUGCACCUUUGGUCCCAGAGGUGCUUAUGAAAGACAGAUGCUCAGAUCCCUCCUUAGAGAGUCAGAUUCAGGAGGUCUGAUGUGAAUCCCAGAGACCUGGAAUUUUACUGAUGGCCCAGAUAAUUUUUAUGGUCAGAUACUGACCUAAUUCCACCCAGUUUCCCACUAAAUUUUGUAAGUGAGGAAAGCAAUGCAGAAGAGUUACAGGAAGGCCCAGUGUUACAUGCCCAGGUCAUGGCCCAGGGCCAAGCCAGCCCCAAAGGUGGGACCCUGGUUCUCUUAGCCUUCCCUGACACCUGUCACCCUGGCUGCUGCUCCAGGGAACCCUCUCUCGGGAGAAGCUUGAGCAAAUGUUGAUCUUCCCAGAACAGGGGUCUACAGAAUCCAGAGGUGUGGAAACAGUGGGAUGCUAAUAGCUGUUAGAAUUUUGGUUCAUCCAUAGAUCCAAACUUUGAAGCAUUGAGACAAAAGAUAGCUGUGCUUUGAUAGAGAAAAUAGAUAAGAAAAGGGUGUGAAAUCUGAGUGUCACAACAGAGGCAGAAGCAGAUGGAAACUAGGUUUCUGGAGUAGGGGAGGUGGGGACCAACUUUGUUUCUCCUGCUUUUACCUUGUCCUAGUUGGAAUCAUCUCUCCUCAUCCCAGUUACAAAGCCAGAGAGGAUUUACAGUCAAAGCAUCUACACCAGCAGUCCCUCUUACUGACACUGAUCAGACAGGGAGGUAGAACUGAUGGAAAACACAGCACAGCAUCAGAAGCAUAGCUUGGGAGCUUAUUAGCAGCAAAGUGCUGUUCUCUGCGGCAUUUUCUGGUGCUCCAGAAAUACAUCCCCUUGGAUGGAGAUACUACCGGGCCAUCUAAUGUGAAAUUUUCUGCUGGAGUGGUUAACGCUGGAGAUUUCCUUGAAAAACAUCGCCACUGAGAGAGGCUGGCUUCAAGUUUCAUAUAUAUGUAUAUGUAUCUGUGUGUGUGUGUGUGUAUGUGUGUGUCCAUGUGUGUGUAUAUAUAUUUUUAUAUAUAAAUACAUGUGUAUUUAUAUAUAUAAAUAAAUUUAUAAUGUAAUAUAUAAAUAUUUAUAUAUAAAUAA
rnacentral:lncRNA from 10 species